CAGCCGCCGCGGGAAUACGAGGGGAGCUAGCGUUAUUCGGAAUUACUGGGCGUAAAGCGCACGUAGGCGGCUUUGUAAGUUAGAGGUGAAAGCCCAGAGCUCAACUCUGGAAUUGCCUUUAAGACUGCAUCGCUUGAAUCCAGGAGAGGUGAGUGGAAUUCCGAGUGUAGAGGUGAAAUUCGUAGAUAUUCGGAAGAACACCAGUGGCGAAGGCGGCUCACUGGACUGGUAUUGACGCUGAGGUGCGAAAGCGUGGGGAGCAAACAGGAUUAGAUACCCGUGUAGUCCCUGUCUCUUAUAC
rnacentral:rRNA from 1 species